GCGACUUUUUAGUAGCUUGUUUUCUAAUGUUCAGGGUUGAUCUGUUGAUCAGAAUAUGUUGCUUGUCACCGUCGUUGAGAUUCACAGGCUGAUUCUUGAUUUCGCUUCAGUGUUCAUGUAACACUCGUAUUUUAAUACUUUAACACUCUCGAGUAUGGUCUCACAUGUACUCCCAGAAGAGUUAAUUUAACACUGCAGUUUUAGCACAAAAGUGAUUUGUUAAUAAAAUUCUUAUUUGAGUAGAAUGUAGAAUUAAAUUAAUUUUUAUUAGUACUAUUUACACAUUAGGGAGUUUAUCUUUUUCAAUUCAACUCAAUAUUUUUGUUUAGGUUCUAAUUAAUUCUGUACUGUUUUCUAUUCAAAUCUACUAAUAUUAAAUGGAUAACUAUUAAGGGUCUCAUUUAAUUAAUAUUUACUCAAUACCAAACCUUGUGAAAUUUAAUUAAUAAUAUUGCUUGUAAUCUGUUGCAUCAUUUUUAUUGAGUAGAUAUGGUGUAUUUUUUCUUACAGUGUGCACUAAAAGAUAUAACAACAGAAUGUGUUGACUUUGUUUGUGCCGACAUAAGACCUUAUGACACCGUCUCUGGCCAGGGUUUCAGGGUUUACAUAUGCAAUGUAUUUUACCCGCGGGAUUUUGCGGGCGGGAGCGGGACGAAACUUGAUUGUUUGCGGGCGGGAGCGGGAGAAAAUAAUAUUUUUUUUUUUUGCGGGAGCGGGACGAAAAAAUCCGUCCCGCGCAGGUCUCUACCUCAGACACAGGACCAAGGCGACCACCUUUCCAUUUCUGGCCAGUGUCAUCCUUACAGGUCUGGAAAAUAAGUCAGAAGCUGAGGAGGAUGUUGGUGUCAAUGCUAGAAUGCUAGCAUGUGCACAGUUGGACAUGGAUAAUUAUUGAGUGGUGUAUGUGGAGGAAUUCAGCUUUCCUCUCCCACCGUCACAGAUAAAGGCCUUUAGAUCUACUGGAUCCAGAUCUGAAUGAAGAGCAGCUGGAGAUGAUGAAAGAGCAGCUGGUCCUGAAGUUCAGAAGUACAUCAUGAUUCUGUUCACACAUGGAGAUGAAAUGGAGGAUAUGGAACAGAUCAUUG